rnacentral:rRNA from 1 species
UACGAAGGGAGCUAGCGUUGUUCGGAAUCACUGGGCGUAAAGCGCACGUAGGCGGAUGUGUCAGUCAGGGGUGAAAUCCCGGAGCUCAACUUCGGAACUGCCUUUGAUACAGCACGUCUUGAGUCCGAUAGAGGUGGGUGGAAUUCCUAGUGUAGAGGUGAAAUUCGUAGAUAUCUGGAGGAACACCGGUGGCGAAGGCGGCAUCCUGGACCAACACUGACGCUGAGGAGCGAAAGCCAGGGGAGCAAACGGG